AGCGAACGUUUGCGGCGGGCUUAACACAUGCAAGUCGAACGAGAAUCAUUCCUUCGGGGAUGAGGAAAGUGGCGCACGGGUGCGUAACACGUGGGUAACCAACCCUCUUGACUGGGACAACUCGGGGAAACUCGAGCUAAUACCGGAUGUCGCGUACGGGUCUUCGGGCCUGUACGUAAAAGGAGCAAUCCGCAAGAGGACGGGCUCGCGGCCCAUCAGCUAGUUGGAGAGGUAACGGCUCACCAAGGCGAAGACGGGUAGCUGGUCUGAGAGGAUGAUCAGCCACACUGGAACUGAGACACGGUCCAGACUCCUACGGGAGGCAGCAGUGGGGAAUAUUGCGCAAUGGGCGAAAGCCUGACGCAGCCACGCCGCGUGAGCGAUGAAGGCCUUAGGGUCGUAAAGCUCUGUGGAGGGAGAAGAAACCUGACGGUAUCCCUUUAGCAAGCACCGGCUAACUCCG
rnacentral:rRNA from 1 species